AACGAACGCUGGCGGCAUGCCUAACACAUGCAAGUCGAACGAAACCUUCGGGUCUAGUGGCGCACGGGUGCGUAACGCGUGGGGACCUGCCCUUAGGUUCGGCAUACCUCCCCGAAAGGGGUGCUAAUACCGGAUAAUGUCUUCGGACCAAAGAUUUAUCGCCUUUGGAUGGGCCCUCGUUGGAUUCGCUCGUUGGUAGGGUAAAAGCCUACCAAGGCGACGAUCCAUAGCUGGUCUGGGAGGAUGAUCAGCCACACUGGGACUGAGACACGGCCCAGACUCCUACGGGAGGCAGCAGUGGGGGACAGUGGACAGUGGGCGAAAGCCUGAUCCAGCAAGGCCGCGUGAGUGAUGAAGGCCUUAGGGUUGUAAAGCGCUUUUACCCGGGAUGAUAAUGACAGUACCGGGAGAAUAAGCCCCGGCUAACUCCGUG
rnacentral:rRNA from 1 species